AUCCCGGUAGUGUAUCUAACACACUUCAUUUUCGUUGAAGAGAAGAAAUACUUUUUCUCGAGAUA
rnacentral:tRNA from 1 species